GGUUUGAUUCUGGCUCAGAUUGAACGCUGGCGGGAUGCUUUACGCAUGCAGGUCGAACGGCAGCACGGACCGGUCUGGUGGCGAGUGGCAGACAGGUGAGUAAUGUAUCGGAACGUGCCUAGUAGCGGGGGAUAACUACGCGAAAGCGUAGCUAAUACCGCAUACGCGCCCUUCGGGGAAAGCGAGACCUUCGGGCCUCGCACUAUUAGAACAGCCGAUAUCCGGAUUAGCUGAUUGGUGGGGUAACGGCUCACUUUAAGGCGACGAUCCGUAGCUGGUUUGAGAGGACGACCAGCCACACUGCGGGACUGGAGACCGCGACCAGACUCCACCACGGGAGAGCAGCGGUGGGGGUACCUGGACGAUAGGGAAACCCUGAUCCAGCCAUCCCGCGUGUGCGAUGAAGGCCUUCAGGUUGUAAAGCGCCUGGCAGGAAAGAAACGGCACGGGAUAAUACGUGCAACUGACGAUACCUGCAGAAUAAGCACCGGCUAACUACGUGCCAGCAACCGCGGUAAUACGUAGGGUGCAAGCGUUAAUCAGGUGCUGGGCGUAAAGCGUGCGCAGGCGGUUCGGAAAGAAGAAUGUGAAAUCCCAGAGCUUAACUUUGGAACUGCAUUUUUAACUACCAAAACUGCAGAGUGUAUCAGAGGUGAAUUCGCGUGUAACGGUAAAUGCAUGAAGUAUGGAAGACACCGUGUGACAGCCUCUCAGAGAUACUGCAACUAACCUCAUGCACGGCGUGAGAACAAGACGUGGGAUUAGAUACCCCUGGUGAUCCACUUCAAACGAUGUCCAACUAGCUGUUACAGGGCCUUCGGGCCUUGGUAGCGCAACUAACGCGUGAAGUUGACCGCCUGGGGAGUACGGUCGCAAGAUUAAAACUCAAGGAAUUGACGGGGACCGCACAAGCGGUGGAUGAUGUGGAUUAAUUCGAUGCAACGCGAAAACCUUACCACCCUUGACAUGUCUGGAAUCCCGAAGAGAUUUGGGGGUGCUCGCAAGAGAACCGGAACACAGGUGCUGCAUGGCUGUCGUCAGCUCGUGUCGUGAGAUGUUGGUUAAGUCCGCAACGAGCGCAAUACUUGUCAUUAGUUGCUACGAAAGGGCACUCUAAUGAGACUGCGGUAAAUUAUUGGAAGGUGGGGAUGACGUCAGGUCUCAUGCCCUUAUGGUGGGAGCUUUACACGUCAUACAAUGAUUAAGGACAGAGGGUCGCCCAGCACGAGAGAGCCAAUCCCAGAAACCGAUCUCGUGAUCCGGAUCGCAGUCUGCAACUCGACUGCGUGAAGUCAGAAUCGCUAGUAAUCGCCCGGAUCGGCAUGUCGCGGUGAAUACGUUCCCGGGUCUUGUACACACCGCCCGUCACACCAGCAGAAUUAGGUUUUUACCAGAAGUAGUUAGCUAACCGUAAGGAGGGCGAUUACCACGGUAGGAUUCAUGACUGGGGUGAAGUCGUAACAAGGUAG
rnacentral:rRNA from 1 species